UACGUAGGGUGCGAGCGUUGUCCGGAAUUAUUGGGCGUAAAGGGCUCGUAGGCGGUCUGUCACGUCGGGAGUGAAAACUCAGGGCUUAACCCUGAGCCUGCUUCCGAUACGGGCAGACUAGAGGUAUGCAGGGGAGAACGGAAUUCCUGGUGUAGCGGUGAAAUGCGCAGAUAUCAGGAGGAACACCGGUGGCGAAGGCGGUUCUCUGGGCAUUACCUGACGCUGAGGCACGAAAGUGUGGGGAUCAAACAGG
rnacentral:rRNA from 1 species